GAUGAACGCUAGCGGCAGGCUAACACAUGCAAGUCGAGGGGUAAGGUUCAGCUUGCUGAAUACACGACCGGCGCACGGGUGAGUAACACGUUUGCAACCUUCCUCUAACUGGAGAAUAGCCCGAAGAAAUUCGGAUUAAUACUCCAUAAAGUCAAUUUAAGGCAUCUUUUAUUGAUUAAAGCUCCGGCGGUUAGAGAUGGGCAUGCGUGUCAUUAGCUAGUUGGUGAGGUAACGGCUCACCAAGGCCACGAUGACUAGGGGGUCUGAGAGGAUGAUCCCCCACACUGGUACUGAGACACGGACCAGACUCCUACGGGAGGCAGCAGUGAGGAAUAUUGGGCAAUGGACGCAAGUCUGACCCAGCCAUGCCGCGUGCAGGAUGACUGCCCUAUGGGUUGUAAACUGCUUUUGUUUGGGAAGAAACCCCCGAUCGUGAUCGGGGCUGACGGUACCAUACGAAUAAGCAUCGGCUAACUCCGUGCCAGCAGCCGCGGUAAUACGGAGGAUGCAAGCGUUAUCCGGAUUCAUUGGGUUUAAAGGGUGCGCAGGCGGAAUAUUAAGUCAGUGGUGAAAUCCUGCAGCUUAACUGUAGAACUGCCAUUGAUACUGAUAUUCUUGAAUAUAGUUGAGGUGGGCGGAAUGUGUAAUGUAGCGGUGAAAUGCUUAGAUAUUACACAGAACACCAAUUGCGAAGGCAGCUCACUAAACUAAUAUUGACGCUGAGGCACGAAAGCGUGGGUAGCAAACAGGAUUAGAUACCCUGGUAGUCCACGCUGUAAACUAUGAUCACUCGCUGUUGGCAAUACAGCGUCAGCGGCUGAGCGAAAGCAUUAAGUGAUCCACCUGGGGAGUACGGUCGCAAGAUUGAAACUCAAAGGAAUUGACGGAGGCUCACACAAGCGGUGGAGCAUGUUGCUUAAUUCGAUGCAACGCGAAGAACCUUAUCCUGGGCUUGACAUGCUUGGAUGCCCAUCUGGAAACAGAGUAGGCUGCCCUUCGGGGUGAAACUUGCACAGGUGCUGCAUGGCUGUCGUCAGCUCGUGUCGUGAGAUGUUGGGUUAAGUCCCGUAACGAGCGAAACCCUUGUCGUUAGUUGCCAGCGCGUAAUGGCGGGGACUCUAGCGAGACUGCCGGUGUUAAACCGGAGGAAGGUGGGGAUGACGUCAAGUCCUCAUGGCCUUUGUGCCCAGGGCUGCAAACGUGCUACAAUGGCGAGGACAAACCGACGCAAAGCCGCGAGGUCGAGCAAAUCGGAGAAACCUUGCCCCAGUUCGGAUUGGAGUCUGCAACUCGACUCCAUGAAGUCGGAAUCGCUAGUAAUCGCGUAUCAGCGUGACGCGGUGAAUAUGUUCCUGAGCCU
rnacentral:rRNA from 1 species